rnacentral:rRNA from 1 species
CUUUUAAUGGCCGCAGUAUAUUGACUGUGCAAAGGUAGCAUAAUCAUUAGAUUUUUAAUUGGAAUCUGGAAUGAAUGGUUGGAUGAAAUAUAAUCUUUUUUAAAUUAAUUAAUUGAAUUUUAUUUUUUAGUUAAAAAGCUAAAAUUUAAAAAUGGGACGAGAAGACCCCUAUAGAAUUUAAUAAUUAUUUAUUAUAUAUGAAUUAUUUAAAUUUUAUUUAUAUUAAAUAUUUAUUUUAUUGGGGAGAUAGAUAAAUUUAUAUAACUUUAAAUUUUAUAUUCAUUGAUUUAUGUAUAUAUGAUCUUAUAAUAUUGAUUAAAAAAAUAAAUUACCUUAGGGAUAACAGCAUAAUUUUUUUAAGAAGUUCUUAUUUUUAAAAAAGAUUAUGACCUCGAUGUUGGAUUAAGAAUAUAUUUAUAAGUAGAAAUAUAAUUUUAUAAGUCUGUUCGACUUUUAAAUUCUUACGUGAUCUGAGUUCA